rnacentral:rRNA from 1 species
GACGAACGCUGGCGGCGUGCCUAAUACAUGCAAGUCGAACGAGUGGCGGACGGGUGGUUAAUAUAUCGGAACGUGCCCAGUAGCGGGGGAUACCUACUCGAAAGAGUGGCUAAUACCGCAUUCUAUUGGCGCGGCCGCUAUCGGAUUAGCUGGUUGGUGGGGUAAAGGCCCACCAAGGCAACGCUCCGUAGCUGGGUUGAGAGGCCGACCAGCCACACUGGGACUGAGACACGGCCCAGAGUCCUACGGGAGGCAGCAGUGGGGAAUGUUGGGCAAUGGGGGAAACCCUGAUACAGCCAUGCCGCGUGUAUGAUAAGGCCUUCGGGGUGGAAAGUACUUUUGGCAGAGAAGCGGUAGCGGAAGAGGAAGCAACGGCUAACUACGUGCCAGCAGCCGCGGUAAUAC